AUGCAGGCGGCGGCCUCUUACCGGGGCGCGGCAGGCCACCGCCGCGCCGGCCACCCCUCCCGGCGCCCUCCCGGUCCCUCUCUUCUUCUACCCGUCAGCGUCGCCGGCGUCGGCCGUUUCUCCGACGCGGCGGUUCCGCUCCGAGUCGGCUCCCUGCCCCUUCCUCGGGCUCGCGGCGGCGGCGAUUUCGCGCGCCUGGAUGCCAGGGACGGGGAGGCGUGGCAGCUGACGCGCGCGCUCGGGCUAAUCCUUCCUGGUCACCAGAAAAUGGUGCAUGCUAACCUGCUGAAAACUGCUGUUCUUUCAACAAUGUCGAUGCUCAUAAUGCCUCUUGAGGCAUCAGCGGAGACAUGUCAACCAACUAGUUCUUUUGCCAAUAUGCCGAUUUUCAUUGCUGUCGCUCUAAUAGGAGCUGCUGUGGGUGGAUUAUUAGCACGGCAAAGAAAGGACGAACUGAAGCGAUUGAAUAAUCAACUUCGUCAGAUUAAUACUGCCCUUAGAAGGCAGGCACAGAUUGAAUCGUUUGCCCCCGGCCUUACUUAUGCGCCUGUAGGGAGAGCAGGAGAAAUUGAGGUCAUUGUUGAUCCCAGGAAGCAGCAGUUGGUGGUAAAUUUGAAAAAUGGGAAGAAUUAUAUGAGGAAUCAGGACCUUGAUAAGGCAGUAAUGGAGUUCAAGACAGCUCUGGAGCUUGCAGAAAGCAUAGGGGAUCGCUUUGAGGAGAAGAAAGCUGCGCGAGGAUUAGGCGCAUCACUACAAAGGUUGGGACAGUACAGAGAAGCAAUGAGCUGGUACUACAAGGUUCUGGCGCUAUCAAAGGAGACCGGCGAGGAUUCUGGCUGCACCGAGGCCUACGGCGCGAUAGCCGACUGCUGCGCCGAUCUCGGCGACUUGGAAGGAGCAGCGAAGCUGUAUGACGAGUACAUAUCAAGGCUGCAGCCCCGUGAUUGA
rnacentral:rRNA from 1 species